GGCGCGGUGGCCAAGUGGAAAGGCGGUAGUCUGCAAAACUACCAUGCGUGGGUUCGAUUCCCACCCGCGCCU
rnacentral:tRNA from 1 species